UACGUAGGUCGCAAGCGUUAUCCGGAAUUAUUGGGCGUAAAGAGCUCGUAGGCGGUUUGUCGCGUCUGCCGUGAAAGUCCGGGGCUCAACUCCGGAUCUGCGGUGGGUACGGGCAGACUAGAGUGAUGUAGGGGAGACUGGAAUUCCUGGUGUAGCGGUGAAAUGCGCAGAUAUCAGGAGGAACACCGAUGGCGAAGGCAGGUCUCUGGGCAUUAACUGACGCUGAGGAGCGAAAGCAUGGGGAGCGAACAGG
rnacentral:rRNA from 1 species